rnacentral:rRNA from 1 species
UUUGGUGGGGGUAAUGGCCUACCCAGGCGACGACGGGUACCCCGCCCUGAGAGGGCGACCGGCCCCCACUGGGACUGAGACACGGCCAGACUCCUACGGGAGGCAGCAGUGGGAAUAUUCCCAAUGGGSGAAAACCUGAUGCAGCGACGCCGCUUAGGGAUGACGGCCUUCGGGUUGUAAACCUCUUUCAGCAGGACGAAGCGAGAGUGACGGUACCUGCAGAAGAAGCCCGGCCAACUACGUGCCAGCAGCCGCGGUAAUACGUAGGGUGCGAGCGUUGUCCGGAAUUACUGGGCGGAAAGAGCUCGUAGGCGGUUUGUCGCGUCGUCCGUGAAAACUUGGGGCUCAACCCCAAGCUUGCGGGCGAUACGGGCAGACUUGAGUACUGCAGGGGAGACUGGAAUUCCUGGUGUAGCGGUGAAAUGCGCAGAUAUCAGGAGGAACACCGGUGGCGAAGGCGGGUCUCUGGGCAGUAACUGACGCUGAGGAGCGAAAGCGUGGGUAGCGAACAGGAUUAGAUACCCUGGUAGUCCACGCCGUAAACGGUGGGCAAAUAGGUGUGGGUUUCCUUCCACGGGAUCCGU